AUGGCGGCGGAGACCAAACCCUCCUCCGGGACGGAGGCGGCGGCGGCGACGGCCGUGCAGUUCCAGGUGGACGAGGCGUACGAGUACCGCGCGCCCAAGUACUUCGACUUCGUCGUCGACGAGACGGAGGCCGACAUCCGCGCCGCCGAGCGCUGGUUCGAGGCCGGCGCCAGCCACGCGCCCUCGCCCUUCGCCCCGAGGAUCAAGGAGUCGAGAGCGGAGGUCAAGAUCGACGCACUCUGCGACUUCGCGGACGCGGAGGACCCGGCUCCAUCUCCAAAGAACCAAGCAACGGAGGACGCAGCAGUCAACGUCACAAAUCCGGCAGGGGAUAUCGACGGCACGUCUGCUUGUCCUGACACCAUGUCAGAGUCGCCGCCAUCAGAAGAGAAGGAGGAGUCACCCAAGUCUUUCGAGUUCCCCCUGUCCAAAGAUUUGGCUGCAAAAUCAGCAGAUGUUGGGUCUAGCACGCCUAAGAUUCAGAGGCCGCCUCCACCUGCGGAAGUUACCACUGCUGCGACCACUGCCAAGUCGACAGUGAAGGCUGAAGCGUGCACUCCCAAGGUGCAGGGGAGCUCAUCCACUCGCUCAAAGACCGUGCAACCGUCUAAUCUGAAGCAGUCCUCGCUGGCAUUAAAGAAGAAGAGUGUGAUCAAGGGGACUCGUGAUGCGGUGGCCGGAAAGGCAGCAGCUGCUGCAAAUGAUAUUAGGCAAGAAAAUCAGGCUGUGAAGAGGCAAAAACUAGAUGAUGGAAGUACAAGACAGAUAUUGAACGUCAAGUCCCGGGUGCUGCCUCACAAAGGAAGAUGUAGUUUAGCAGGAAGCACCGAGGUGGGACAGUCUUCCAUGAGGCACCGCGGUGACGACACCCACUCUCUGAAGGAAGUGACAGUGACUCCAUACAUUUCAGCAGCUGAAAUGGUCAAGAAGUUUGAGUCAGGGACUAGAGAUUUGGGCAGCCACUACAGCAGAUCAAUGUCUAAUGAGGAUGCAGCAACCGCCUCACAGAGAAGGCCCAAACUUAUGCUAACAAGGCCAAAGGAACCUGAGUUUCAGACUACCCACAGGGUCCGAGCAGUCAGAAUGAAAAGCUCUUCAGAACUAGAGGAGGAAAUGCUGGCCAAGAUUCCAAAGUUCAGAGCACGGCCAUUUAACAAAAAGAUAGCUGAAGCUCCGUCUUUCCCUCCUCUUCCAAGGACAGCUCCACAGCUCCCCGAAUUCAAUGAGUUUCACCUUAAAACGAUGGAAAGAGCGUCUCGACAUGCUGACACAUGUUCAGAAGCUUCUUCCGUAGGAACUAUGCGGAGUCAGGGUAGUAAGCCACUUAAACUUGCUGAAGCGAAACCCCCACAACUUGAGACAGCACUGCGCGCAAGGCCAUCAAGGGUGAAAAGUAGUGAGGAAUUGGAACUAGAAGAAUUGGAGAAAGCCCCCAAGUUCAAGGCCAAGCCACUGAACAAAAAGAUUCUUGAGAGCAAGGGUGAUAUUGGUGUUUUUGCCCACCCGAAGGCCCAGGCAACAGAGCCCAAGGAGUUCCAUUUUCGUACUGACGACCGCUUGGGACCUCCUGCAGUUGCGGAUCUUCUCGACAAGCUUUCUCUGUACUCUGAAUCUUCUUCCUGCCAUGACAAGAAAGAUAUGCCGAUACUGACGAUACCCAACCCUUUCAAUCUACAUACAGAUGAAAGAGGGCAUGACAAGGAGAGGCAACUAGAGGCACAACUGUUGCAGAAGAAGCUAGAGGAAGAGAAGGCCCGGAAAUUCAAGGCUAAUCCCUAUCCUUACACCACAGACUAUCCAGUGGUGCCACCAAAGCCUGAACCGAAACCAUGCACGAGGCCAGAAGGUUUUCAGCUGGAGAGCUUGGUGAGACAUGAAGUGGAGCAGCAAAGGCUAAUGGAAGAGAGAGAGAGGAUGGCGAGGGAAGAGGCUCAGAGGAGAAUUGUCAGGGCACAACCGAUACUGAAAGAGGAUCCUAUUCCUCUUCCACAGAAGGAGCGAAAGCCUCUUACUGAAGUGCAACAGUUUGAACUGCAUGUUGAUGAGAGGGCGGUUCAAAGAUCAGAAUUUGAUAACAGAGUGAAGGAGAAGGAGAUCACUUACAAGAGGUUGCGAGAGGAAAACGAAUUUGCACAGAAGAUCGAGGAAGAGAAGGCGCUGAAGCAGCUGAGGAGGACCUUGGUGCCACAAGCACGGCCCCUCCCAAAGUUCGACAGGCCGUUCCGUCCACAAAGGUCGACGAAGCAGGUGACCAGGCCCAAGUCGCCACAGCUUCAGGUGAAUGAAAGAGGGGCGAGAAGGCACCCGUUCAUGAGAUAG
rnacentral:rRNA from 1 species